rnacentral:rRNA from 1 species
UUUUAUGGAGAGUUUGAUCCUGGCUCAGGACGAACGCUGGCGGCGUGCUUAACACAUGCAAGUCGAACGCUGAAGCGCCCAGCUUGCUGGGUGUGGAUGAGUGGCGAACGGGUGAGUAACACGUGAGUAACCUGCCCCUGACUUCGGGAUAAGCCUGGGAAACUGGGUCUAAUACCGGAUAUGACUACUGGCCGCAUGGUCUGGU